ACACAUUUUGAAUGAUGUGGAAAGAGGGGUGGACAAACGGUAACCGACCGUUCUGAUCCAAACUUUGAGACAUGGUUUGGGUUUAGUCGGUUGACAGAUUAUGUUGAAAAUCAACAAUGGGUUGUUGCGAGCUUGUGCGGUCGGAUUCAGAGGUUGGUUUUGGGCUCGUCGGAAACCGAAUCCGACCGAAGAUACACUCAGAGAUGGACUUCAAUUUAUCUUGGCCCAAGCUCACCCUCAAUCUUUGACACAAGCUGAACAUUCAUAAGGGUUUACGAUCUCAAACUCCAUCCAUGAAGCUCUGUGCCGUCACUCAACGUCUCGCGGACAAAUCCUUCAUCCGACACUUUCUCUCUCUAUUCGUCCAUGGAUUUUGGAAUGAAAAAGCAAAUGGAGGAAAAGAAUAUGGAGCUUGUGAAGACAUUAUGAAGGUUCGUAUCGAGAAUGAAAAAGCAAAUGUAGGAAAAGAAUAUGGAACUUGUGAAGACAUUAUGAAGAUUCCUAUCGAGAAAGACAUUAAGAGCUUUACAUUGUUAUACUUUAUAUUAUCUUCUAAUUGAGCUUGGCUAUUUUGUUUCAAGUGUGAAGUAAAGGAGGCGAUUUUGUUUCAUUUCAAAGAUCCAAAGAUCCAUGUUUAGUUAUGAUAGGGAGUUAUCAUUGGAGUAGUCUUGUUUUUAUUGUCUAAUAAACCCGAGGUCUUGAGAAUAACUUCAAAUUUGUAUUUGUAUUGGUUUUGGUUUUGUAUAUUUUAUUAAAUUUGUUAUUUAUGUAAGUAAG